CUGACGGUACCUGAUGAAUCAGCAUCGGCUAACUCCGUGCCAGCAGCCGCGGUAAUACGGAGGAUGCAAGCGUUAUCCGGAUUUAUUGGGCGUAAAGCGUCCGCAGGUGGUUUUUCAAGUCUGCUGUUAAAGCGCAGAGCUUAACUCUGUAACGGCGGUGGAAACUGAGAGACUAGAGUAUGGUAGGGGUUGCGGGAAUUCCCAGUGUAGCGGUGAAAUGCGUAGAUAUUGGGAAGAACACCAGCGGCGAAAGCGCGCAACUGGGCCAUUACUGACACUCAUGGACGAAAGCUAGGGGAGCGAAAGGGAUUAGAUACCCCUGUAGUCCUAGCUGUAAACGAUGGGUACUAGGUGUUGA
rnacentral:rRNA from 1 species